UGGCUGUCUUCGCCUCUGGACUUGGUCAAAGCUCCACAGUGACUCAUUUGAUACCUGCGGAGUUUGGAACAAGUACAGGGUC
ensembl:miRNA eel-mir-7132 eel-mir-7132